GGAGGGCCCAGGAUGUGGACUUGAAACUCUGAGAUUGAAGAACUGUGGUUUGUCAAAGUUCAGCUGUGAUUUUCUGGCAGCAGCACUGAAAUCUAACCCCUCCCAUCUGAGAGAGCUGGACCUGAGUCUGAAUAAACUGGAGUAUCCAGAUGUGAAGCGGCUGUUUGCUCUUAAGGAAAGUCCAGAUUGCACACUGGAGACUCUGAGAUGGUGGCCAUGAUUGUAAACAGGAAGGUGUGUGUGCUGAAAGAGGAGGAGUUGUGUCCUGAUGAUCCAGAGAGGUUGAAGCAGCAGCAGCUUGUGUGUAGAGACGCUCUGACUGGG